rnacentral:rRNA from 1 species
GAUCCAUGCUCGCGGCCUAUCAGCUUGUUGGUGAGGUAACGGCUCACCAAGGCGACGACGGGUAGCCAGCCUGAGAGGGCGACCGGCCACACUGGGACUGAGAUACGGCCCAGACUCCUACGGGAGGCAGCAGUGGGGAAUAUUGCGCAAUGGGCGAAAGCCUGACGCAGCAACGCCGCGUGCGGGAUGACGGCCUUCGGGUUGUAAACCGCUUUCAGCAGGGACGAAGGGUUUCUGACGGUACCUGCAGAAGAAGCACCGGCUAACUACGUGCCAGCAGCCGCGGUGAUACGUAGGGUGCGAGCGUUGUCCGGAAUUAUUGGGCGUAAAGAGCUUGUAGGCGGUCCGUUGCGUCGGAAGUGAAAACUCAGGGCUUAACCCUGAGCCUGCUUUCGAUACGGGCGGACUUGAGGGAUGUAGGGGAGAACGGAAUUCCUGGUGGAGCGGUGGAAUGCGCAGAUAUCAGGAGGAACACCAGUGGCGAAGGCGGUUCUCUGGACAUUUCCUGACGCUGAGAAGCGAAAGCGUGGGGAGCAAACAGGCUUAGAUACCCUGGUAGUCCACGCCGUAAACGGUGGGCACUAGGUGUGGGACCCUUCCACGGGUUCCGUGCCGUAGCUAACGCAUUAAGUGCCCCGCCUGGGGAGUACGGGUGCCUAUGAUGGAGCUACCACAUAAA